rnacentral:siRNA from 1 species
CUCCGCCAGAACCGCCAGACCCA